AGGAAUAUUGGUCAAUGGGCGGGAGCCUGAACCAGCCAAGUCGCGUGAGGGAAGACGGUCCUACGGAUUGUAAACCUCUUUUGCCGGGGAGCAACGGGGUCCUUGCGAGGGCCCAAUGAGAGUACCCGGAGAAAAAGCAUCGGCUAACUCCGUGCCAGCAGCCGCGGUAAUACGGAGGAUGCGAGCGUUAUCCGGAUUUAUUGGGUUUAAAGGGAGCGUAGGCGGGUUGUUAAGUCAGUUGUGAAAGUUUGCGGCUCAACCGUAAAAUUGCAGUUGAUACUGGCAUCCUUGAGUACAGUAGAGGUAGGCGGAAUUCGUGGUGUAGCGGUGAAAUGCUUAGAUAUCACGAAGAACUCCGAUUGCGAAGGCAGCCUGCUGGACUGUAACUGACGCUGAUGCUCGAAAGUGUGGGUAUCAAACAG
rnacentral:rRNA from 1 species